CCACUUUGUGGUUCAUGACUGGGGUGAAGUCGUAACAAGGUAGCGCUAGGGGAACCUGGCGCUGGAUCACCUCCUUACACGAUGAU
rnacentral:rRNA from 1 species